rnacentral:rRNA from 1 species
GGGGAAUAUUGGGCAAUGGGCGCAAGCCUGACCCAGCAACGCCGCGUGAAGGAAGAAGGCUUUCGGGUUGUAAACUUCUUUUGACAGGGAAGAGCAGAAGACGGUACCUGUCGAAUAAGCCACGGCUAACUAC